rnacentral:rRNA from 1 species
GACGAACGCUGGCGGCGUGCUUAACACAUGCAAGUCGAACGGAAAGGCCCUGCUUUUGUGGGGUGCUCGAGUGGCGAACGGGUGAGUAACACGUGAGUAACCUGCCCUUGACUUUGGGAUAACUUCAGGAAACUGGGGCUAAUACCGGAUAGGAGCUCCUGCUGCAUGGUGGGGGUUGGAAAGUUUCGGCGGUUGGGGAUGGACUCGCGGCUUAUCAGCUUGUUGGUGGGGUAGUGGCUUACCAAGGCUUUGACGGGUAGCCGGCCUGAGAGGGUGACCGGCCACAUUGGGACUGAGAUACGGCCCAGACUGCUACGGGAGGAAGCAGUGGGGAUUAUUGCACAAUGGGCGGAAGCCUGAUGCAGCAACGCCGCGUGGGGGAUGACGGCCUUCGGGCUGGAAACCGUUUUCGCCUGUGACGAAGCGUGAGUGACGGUAAUGGGUAAAGAAGCACCGGCUAACUACGUG